CAGAGUUACUAUAAAACUCCCAACCCUUUGUGAACCUUACCGUCGUUGCCUCGGCGGCGAGCCGCGCGUCGGAAUCCAGAAGGGGCUACCCUGGAGCUAACCUCGCGUAGUGGACGCCGGCCCCGUCGAAGGACCAGACAAACUCUUGUUUUUUUAUGUCUCUCUGAACAGACGAAAGAAAAAAAUUCGUUA
rnacentral:misc_RNA from 1 species